rnacentral:rRNA from 1 species
AACGAACGCUGGCGGCAUGCAUAACACAUGCAAGUCGAACGAGAUCUUCGGGUCUAGUGGCGCACGGGUGCGUAACGCGUGGGAAUCUGCCCUUUGGUUCGGAAUAACAGUUGGAAACGACUGCUAAUACCGGAUGAUGACGAAAGUCCAAAGAUUUAUCGCCAGAGGAUGAGCCCGCGUAGGAUUAGCUAGUUGGUGUGGUAAAGGCGCACCAAGGCGACGAUCCUUAGCUGGUCUGAGAGGAUGAUCAGCCACACUGGGACUGAGACACGGCCCAGGCUCCUACGGAAGGCAGCAGUGGGUAAUAUUGGCCAAUGGGUGAAAGCCUGAUCCAGCAAUGCCGCGUGAGUGACGAAGGCCUUAGGGUUGUAAAGCUCUUUUACCCGGGAUGAUAAUGACAGUACCGGGAGAAUAAGCUCCGGCUAACUCCGUGCCAGCCGCCGCAGUAA